rnacentral:rRNA from 1 species
UGAUGAGUAUUUUUAAGUUAGCAUAUAUGGAUAAAUAUUAAAAGUAUCCGCAGCGAUAUGCAAUUUUGAAGUUAAAAUGGAAGGAAGGAACUCGGCAAAUCUUAGCUUCGCCUGUUUAUCAAAAACAUGGCUCUCUGUUACUUUAAUAUAGGGAGUCGGACCUGCCCAGUGAAAUUUUUUAACGGCCGCGGUACCCUGACCGUGCAAAGGUAGCAUAAUCAUUUGCCUUAUAAUUGAAGGCUUGUAUGAAUGGUUUGACGGGAGCAUUGCUGUCUCCCUCCCAGUAGAUAGAACUUGACCUUUAGGUGAAGAGGCCUAAAUAUAAUUGAAAGACAAGAAGACCCUGUCGAGCUUUAAAAUUAGAUUAGAGGGAAAUAUAAAAUAGCCUAAAUUUAUAGCUAAUUGGUUUUUUGGUUGGGGCGACCGAGGAACAGCAAGAGCUUCCUUUAUCUAAGCUGACUUAUAGGUAUUGAUCCAGCCUAAAGCUGAUUAAAAAAAUUAGUUACCGCAGGGAUAACAGCAUAAUCUCUCUUAAGAGACCAAAUCGAAAGAGGGGGUUGUGACCUCGAUGUUGGACUAGAAUAUCCUGAAGAUGCAGAA